UAGUGGUUAGGAUUCGGCGCUCUCACU
rnacentral:piRNA from 4 species